rnacentral:lncRNA from 1 species
UUAAAUUACGUAUUCCUAUAUGGAACACUCACCUAGUCAAAACAAGCGAGUAGUUCUCAAACAAGCGUUUUAGGUGUCCGCUCCGAGAUCCUCUUGAAGGUUCCCGCGAGUGCCUGAGCAAACAAUAAUCAAGUACCACUCAAUAUCACUACGAAUCUCUAAUUAUCGAGGAAGAUUGUACACUAGUACAAUCUAAGAAAUUAACGCGGAGAUGAGUCUAAGAGUUCGUGUAACUCGAGGUUCAAAAGUGGGGUUUUAAAACACAAGACAAAUCUGAUUUCUAUCUCUGAAAUCAAAUGUAAAAUGAUCAAAUGAUAUUGAAGGAAAAUGGAGAGUUCGAAACCCUUAGUUUCCUUUAAGUUAGAAAAUUUCAGAUUUAAUAAGCAAUCUUUGAAAAAUCAUAUCUCACUCUCUACAAGUCCAAAAUUGGAAAAAUUGAUACUGUUGGAAACCCCUUUGAAAGUACUAAAAGUUCUUAGAAGGCACUUUUCCAUGAUUCUAAAUGGAAGAUAUUCAAAAAUUGGCUCAAAGUUAUUGCUUUAGAAUACCAAGACAGUUUCAAGAUUGGUUUUUGGGCAACUUUGAAAAUUCGGUAAAAUUCACACGUUGUAAAUCAGCCUCCGAAAUUUGUAACUCAAUUAGAGUUACAAUCAACGUUUAAAACAAAACAAGCGGAACGAGAAACGGAGUUUUGAGCACCAAGAUAUGGUAGCUCAAAGUUAGUGAAAAUGUGAAACUGUUAAGUAAAUUCCAGGUUUAAUUCACAACUUUGGGACUUUGAUUGAACACCGAGAUGGACUCGGAAUGGAACCAAAAUUAGCAGUAUAAUACUAUCAUAUAAGGACUAUUUCUAUGCCAAAUUUCAUGGACAAAUAAGCAUGGGAAGUUGAUUAACCAAAAAACCAAAGUUUCAAAAAUUCCAAGGCAGAUCUGCCUUGUGAGUUCCGUUUUCCGUUUUCAAAACAUUUAGCUUAUAAAGUACCUCAAACACGGUCCAUCAGCAUAGAAAAUGUCUAAGAGGCAUUCAAAACAAAAUUUGUGGGUGACUAACACCAAGAAUUUCAAGUACAAGUCCCAAACCAAGAUUAGUUAAAGAUCAGUCCAAAAUGAAGAAAUUCAUAACUGAGUCAGUUUCAAACUUUGGUCACAACUCACUCAAUUCAACUUGGAAUUGAGUAUGGUUGGUGGCGUUGGAAAAUACAUUCAUAAAGAUGAAUUUUAUCAGAAGGAACCAUUUUCAAAUUCUAUCCACAAACAGCUCGUUUUUGAGCAUCAAGAUACAAGUCCUGUCCUGUCUCCUGGAGAGAAACGAAACAGGACAGUGAUUUUCAAUCGAAUGGUGUGGCUCACUCAGGUGGAACCAGAAUGUGCACUUGGUACCAAUGGAAAGCUGGGAAUGUCUAGUUUCCAAUGCCACAAACGGAACUUGAUUUCGACUUCGGAGCAAAGAGUUAUGGCCGAUACAAAAUGACUGCCUGGGCAAUACGGGAUUCAUUUUCCAGUUUUGCUAACUUUGGAAAUCAACUCAUUUGACCAACCAAAUCAUGUUAUUUUUCAAUGAAAUUUUGUACACAACCAAUAUAACAUGUAAACAACGUAAUCAAGCCAUUAGAACGUCAAAAUUUUGCACAUGAGUGGUCGGACAAGGCAGGGGUAAAAUCGAAAACUUUUCCUUCUUGCACCCAAUGAAGUUUCUAUUAAUUACACACCAUUAAUCCAUCAUUUUAACCACUAAACCAACAAUACAUCCAUCAUCAAUUAUCAAAUCAGCAACAACCCAAGAGUGGGAGUUCAUAGAGCCCACUUUCACAUUUUUCCAACAAUAUCAAGUCAUCUACUUACAUGCAAGUGCUUAGAGAUGCAUAUCUACCACCAUAAAUCAAGUUUAAGGUGAUGGAUCAUGUUAUACCUUCUUAAUGUACUAGAUCAGAAUUUUUGGCCCUCAAAAUGCUCCAAGAAACCGUGAUUUCCAGCACCCUUUUUGCAGCUCAAAAUGAUCUCCUAGUGUUAAGCUAAGUGUGGUGCAAGUUUGGUUGAAUUUGGAGAUGAUUUGGUGGUGGUUUGAGUAAGAUUUGUGGAGUAAAAUGAAGAACAAUGGAGCUUAAGAGAGAGAGAGGUUGGCCGGCAGUCUUGGGAGGAAGAGAGAGAGUGAUCAGAUUUUUUUUAAGCUUCCAAGAGAAGAUACUAGCUUGUGGCCACAAAUCACCCAUUAGUCAACUCACAUUAGGGUGCGUUUGGCGCGAUUCGGGCUCGAUUCCUCUUGCGUUUGUUUCACUAGUACACUAAACCUCUAAUGCACUUAUAUUCAUAUAAAUAUUAUUCACUCUUAAUUGUCCUAAAAUAAGGGUCUAACGUUCCUCAAUUUAAAUCGCGCGUGUGAAAACGCGUAUCUCCAAUUUAAGCGCGAUAACGCGAAACUUCCGAGAAAUUCUUAUAUCGAUAGUACUAAUAACUAUCACUUGAGUAUUUAAACAUUAAAAUACCUAAUUUAGGUCCAUUGUACAUGUCUCUAAUAUUCCAAACUUAUUGUACUCUCAAUCGGUCAAGAUUUCCAAAGACGUGUUUACUAUUUUCAAUAAACGAGUUCCGGAAAAUUAAUUUUUGAAACAAGUCACUUUAAAAAUAUAAUGAAACUAUAUUUUCAUGUAAUUAGGUCUCAAGAGCUUAGAAAAUAAUAUUCGGGGUAAAAGGCCAAAUAAAUAAUUAAAUAAGCUAGAAAUAGGAGAUUAAAUAAGUAAAUUUUGCGAGUCCUCACAACCUCCCCUCCUUAAAAGAAUUUCGUCUUCGAAAUUCAUACCUUCUGUAAUCUCAGACAACUCUGAACCGUGUGGUGUGUUCAUGUCAUGCGUUCUUUCAGAUGCCACUGAUCGGUUUCUCCUUCCAUUGACUUGUCGAGGGACAGUUCCAUUUCCUUGUUGAGUAGUAGUUUCUCGUGGAUACCUCCUUGGACAGUCAUGAACUUUAUGGUUGGUACUCCCACACCCCAUACACUUUCGUCCCUUUAGCCAACAGUUUUCUUCAGUGUGAUUCGUCCUUCCACAAUAUCCACAAGUCGGACGAGGUAUUGUGACCUGACUUGCUUGCGAGGUUUUCUUUGAUCGUGUCUGUCCUACUGGAGUCCCUCGCGACAUGGUUCCUUUUGGUUCCUUUAUCAUGAGUGGUGCAGGAAGUAACAGUCCUACUCCAUCCACUUCUUUUCUAACUUUGGGUGGUGGUCCAUUUUCUCCUAAUGUACUGUCAGAUGCAUCUCUUUUCCUUGCUUGAAAGGCUCUCAGUUGAGAUUUUGUGCUCUCUACCCUUUGCGCCUUCUCGAGAGCGUCACUAAAUGUGUCAACCUGUGCUGCAGCAAGGGCAUCUUGGAUCUCUAAAUCUAAUCCUUGGAUAAACCGUCUUAUUCUCUUUCGUUCAGUAGCCACCAAUUCUGGGGCAUAUAUAGAUAACUUCGUAAAGCGUGUUUCAUACUCAGCUACGCUCAAAGUUCCUUGACGAAGCUUUAUAAAAUCAUCUUCUCUCUUUUCUUGGACAAGUGGAGGAAGAAAUUUCUCAUUAAAUUCACGUACAAAGUUUACCCAAGUCCUUAGGGUUUGAUCUCUUUCCCACUUGUUCCUUAUAACAUUCCACCAGGCUCGGGCUACUCCUUCAAGUUGAAAUACAGCAAAGGUGACUUGUCUCUCCUCUGUGUAAUCCAAGGCAUCGAAUAUAUUUCUUAUAUUCUCUAACCAAUUCUCAGCCACCUCUGGAUCAGGUCCUCCAGCAAACUUGGGCGGGGAAAAUUUCUGAAACCGCUCUAAAGCUCGAUCCUCCCCUAUUUCUUGGUUUCCACGUUGGUUUCCUUGUCCUACACCUUGACCUUGUUGAGCUACUAAGAGCUCUAGGAUAUCCAUCAUGCGAGUUAAAACUUGUCCCAUUUGGUCAUUUCCUCUCCCAGCACUUAGCUCAGCAUUUUGGUCAAUAUCAGAUCCAUUAUCUACUCUUUCAUUUCGGGGUUGUCUAGGUUGACGUCCUUUUCGUUGUCCUCUAGUUUCCAUGUUCACAGCUAAUCUAUACACAUAUGUAUAAAUCUCACACUAAGCCAUAGUCGAACUACACACAUAUGCCAGUAACAACCUUUAAAGGAAAAGAAAUCACAUAUACAAAUAUCAUUAUCACUAUGCAAGUAAACACAAACUAGAGUUCAUUAAAUCAUAAAACAAGUUAUGGCCAAGCAAAGUUCAUGCCAAGUCAAAGUCAAUAACAAAAAUAAACAAGUGAUUAUCACAAGUACAUUCAUCUCCAAGGCGCAAACUCUUAAGUUCUACUCCCAUCGUCUCACUAUGAAAGAUCACAAGUAGAGAUUCACUAGAUUAAUUGGAACUAGACGAUUCUCGUUCCCUAACAUGCUCGAUUUCAAUCCCAACACAAGGAUCUUUUGGGUUACGAUAUUUUCCAUCUCCCACUCUUAAUUAUCGUACCAUCUUAACCAAACAAUUAUUGGUUUCCUGUAACCAUUCACAUGAAAUAUCAAUUCAUUCAUAUUCCCCACAAAUGGAGAUAUCAAGCCCCUUAGGGUUGUUUUCCACCCUCAAGUACUCGGGUACAAGAAUCCGAAAUAAGGUAAUUCACAACUCGAGCCGGCCGGUCCCAAGAGUAAAUCACCACAUUCGAGAUUCCUACCCAACAUACAUAUCAAAUUCCCUCCAAUUAUCAAGAUAAAAGUUUUACAACCUAUAACAUUCAUGAUUCACAGCUUACAUUUCUAGAAGGGCACUUAAGCCUUUACUCAAUCACAUAGUAAGGACCAUAACACCACUUGGUCCUAUCUUGCUCCUUUGUAGAGACCACGCGAAGUGGCUCUAAAUUUCAUCGCUACAAGCAAUCAUUUAACUUUCAAACCGGUCCCACAGUCCGGCAUCCUAAACAUUUAAGCCUAGGAUACACUAUAAAGAUCUGAAGCCUAAGCUCUGAUACCAACUGUGACGCCCCCACUUCUCCCUAAGGCGAACCAAAGGGUAUCCGCGGGACGCCUGCCCAGCUCUCGCCAGGACUCGCUACAAUCCAUCAUUCAAAAGCCCGAAAUACUUUAAGUAACUUCAAUACAUAAUUAAAGUACUUCAAAUAUCUCACACUUACAAUUAUGUAGCUUUCCAAACUUAAAUACAACCCAACAGAAAAGGGGUACAAUAGCCAUCCGUUAUAAUAUAACUUAAAAUCUUCAAAAGAAAACAAUCUAGUACUACUCACGAGUACCCUUGGUCUCGAACCCUGUAAAAGAAAACCACAACGUGGGAUGAGCUACACAGCCCAGUGAGGUUCCAAGACACUCUAACAAUUCAAAUAAAUCAAGUAAGUUGGGCAUAUCAUAUGCGUGGUUCAAGGUUACACAAUGGCAUGUUAUCAUGAGGUGAUGAUCACUGUACGGGUAAUUUGAGACAUGUAUCAUGGUAUAAGACAUUUAUCAUGAGACAGUUAUCAUGGUUCAAGACAUUGGCAUGUAUAGUUCACGAGUAAUUGGAGCUUA